rnacentral:lncRNA from 1 species
UCUUUUCUCCUUUUCACUUUUUUGGAUUUUUUUAUAUUACGGCUUUUUAAAAACCACACAAUUAAGUAUAACACCGAGUGCCCUAGACUAGUGGAAGAGGGAGUACUACAUAUUAUGCACAUGACUUAGUUUGUAACCAUCAAAGUGUGUCCAUGACCCCUUAGACACUUAUGCCACCUAGAUGAUAGAGGAAGUAACAGACAGAAGGCUCGUCCUGGCUGAGAUUACUCUUUUGUCCAGAGGGAGGAGGUGCU